CCUACGGGAGGCAGCAGUAGGGAAUCUUCCACAAUGGACGAAAGUCUGAUGGAGCAACGCCGCGUGAGUGAUGAAGGUUUUCGGAUCGUAAAACUCUGUUGUAAGGGAAGAACAAGUACGAGAGGAAAUGCUCGUACCUUGACGGUACCUUGCGAGAAAGCCACGGCUAACUACGUGCCAGCAGCCGCGGUAAUACGUAGGUGGCAAGCGUUGUCCGGAAUUAUUGGGCGUAAAGCGCGCGCAGGCGGCCUUUUAAGUCUGAUGUGAAAGCCCCCGGCUCAACCGGGGAGGGUCAUUGGAAACUGGAAGGCUUGAGUACAGAAGAGAAGAGUGGAAUUCCAUGUGUAGCGGUGAAAUGCGUAGAGAUGUGGAGGAACACCAGUGGCGAAGGCGACUCUUUGGUCUGUAACUGACGCUGGGGCGCGAAAGCGUGGGGAGCAAACAGGAUUAGAUACCCUGGUAGUCCACGCCGUAAACGAUGAGUGCUAGGUGUUGGGGGGUUUCCGCCCCUCAGUGCUGAAGCUAACGCAUUAAGCACUCCGCCUGGGGAGUACGGCCGCAAGGCNGAAACUCAAAUGAAUUGACGG
rnacentral:rRNA from 1 species